rnacentral:rRNA from 1 species
UACAGAGGUCUCAAGCGUUGUUCGGAUUCAUUGGGCGUAAAGGGUGCGUAGGUGGCGUCGUAAGUCAGGUGUGAAAUCUCGGGCUUAACUCCGAAACUGCAUUCAAUACUGCCGUGCUUGAGGACUGGAGAGGAGACUGGAAUUUACGGUGUAGCGGUGAAAUGCGUAGAUAUCGAUAAGGAAGACCAGUGGCGAAGGCGGGUCUCUGGACAGUUCCUGACGCUGAGGCACGAAGGCCAGGGGAGCAAACGGG